UUCCCAGUAGUCUAGUGGAUUGGUGUUGGUCUAUUGCUCCAGAGACUGGGGUUCAAUCCCCACACCGUGACA